AGGGCGUAUGGUGGAUGCCUUGGCAGACAGGACCGAUGAAGGACGUUUGAGGCUGCGAUAUGCCUCGGGGAGCCGCCAACAGGGCUUUGAUCCGAGGAUUUCCGAAUGGGGGAACCCACCGACCGUCAUGGGUCGGUACCGGCUUCGGCCGGGGGGUACGCAGGGAAGUGAAACAUCUCAGUACCUGCAGGAAAGGAUAUUCCGUGAGUAGUGGCGAGCGAAAGCGGAUGAUGGCCAAACCUUGCGCGUGUGAUACCCGUCGGGGGUUGCGCGCGGGGUGUUGCGGGAUCGCGUGCGCCGGCUCCGACGGGCCGGCCGGCAGUUGCAGAAAACCAUGUGUCAGGGGAACCGGGUUGAAUACCGGGCCGCAGAGGGUGAGGGCCCCGUACCUGAACGCGCAUGGUCUGCCGAUCGCGUCUCCCAAGUAGCACGGGUCCCGUGGAACCCCGUGCGAAUCCGCCCAGACCGUUGGGUAAGCCUGAAUAUUCCUGUCUGACCGAUAGCGAACGAGUACCGUGAGGGAAAGGUGAAAAGUACCCCGGGAGGGGAGUGAAACAGUCUCUGAAACCGUGCGCCUACAAUCCGUCGGAGCCCUUUUGUGGGGUGACGGCGUGCCUAUCGAAAAAUGAGUCUGCGAGUCAGUGGCAUGUGGCGAGCAUAACCCGUGUGGGGUAUGCGUAGCGAAGGCGAGUCUUAAAAGGCGUUUGAGUCGCGUGUCCUGGACCCGAAGCGGGAUGAUCUAGCCCUGAGCAGGUUGAAGCGCGGGUAAGACCGCGUGGAGGACCGAACCCACCUGGGUUGAAAACCGGGGGGAUGACUUGGGGCUAGGGGUGAAAGGCCAAUCAAAUUCCGUGAUAGCUGGUUCUCUCCGAAAUGCAUUUGGGUGCAGCGUCGGGUCAUUACGUCCCGGGGGUAGAGCUACUGGAUGCUUGCGGGCCCGUAUCGGGUACCAACAGCAACCAAACUCCGAAUACCGGUGACGCGUAUCCCGGCAGUGAGUCGGCGGGGGAUAAGCUUCGUCGUCGAAAGGGAAACAGCCCAGACCGUCGUCUAAGGUCCCGAAGCGUGUGCUAAGUGGGAAAGGAUGUGGAGUCGCAUAGACAGCCAGGAGGUUGGCUCAGAAGCAGCCACCCUUGAAAGAGUGCGUAACAGCUCACUGGUCUAGUGGUUCCGCGCCGACAAUGUAGCGGGGCUCAAGCACACCACCGAAGACGCGGCAGUAUUUUGUACUGGGUAGGAGAGCGUCCCAUGAGGGGCGAAGCGGCCGUGUGAACGCGCCGUGGACUUCAUGGGAGUGAGAAUGCAGACAUGAGUAGCGAGAGACGGGUGAAGAUCCCGUCCGCUGGAUGACCAAGGGUUCCAGGGCCACGUUCAUCGUCCCUGGGUGAGUCGGGUCCUAAGGCGAGGCCGACAGGCGUAGUCGAAUGGAUGAACGGGUCGAUAUUCCCGUACCGGCUUUCAGCCGCCAAAACCGAGGCUUGGAGUACUAACCUCCGGGUCCGGGCUUACUGCUCCUUCGGGGGCGGGAUGCCCUGGCCUGUUGGGACCGAUCCUUGUAGUAGGUCAGCGCAGGAGUGACGCAGAAGGGUAGCCGGCCGCGGAGGUGGUCUUCCGUGGUCAAGCACGCAGGGCGUGGGACAGGCAAAUCCGUCCCGCAUGGGUCCGAGGUGCGAUGAUGGGGGCCUUAUGGCCCGAUAUCCGGUGAUCCCGGCUGCCGAGAAAAGCUUCGGCGUCAGGCUCAAAGCCGCCCGUACCCCAAACCGACACUGGUGGUCAGGUAGAGAAUACCAAAGCGAUCGAGCGAAUCCUGGUCAAGGAACUCGGCAAAUCACUCCCGUUCCUUCGGUUUAAGGGAGACCCCCGAUGGUGAACACACUUGCUGUGGGAGCUUUUGGGGGUGGCACAGACCAGGGGGUAGCGACUGUUUACCAAAAACACAGGUGCAUGCGAAGGCGCAAGCCGCUGUAUAUGCACUGACGCCUGCCCGGUGCCGGAAGGUUAAGAGGAUCCGUCAGCCUUCGGGUGAAGCGGUGAAUUCAAGCCCCGGUAAACGGCGGUGGUAACUAUAACCAUCCUAAGGUAGCGAAAUUCCUUGUCGGGUAAGUUCCGACCUGCACGAAUGGCGUAACGACUUCCCCACUGUCUCGACCAGGAGCUCGGCGAAAUUGCAGUACGAGUAAAGAUGCUCGUUAAGCGCAGAAGGACGAAAAGACCCCGGGACCUUUACUAUACCUUGGUAUUGGCAUUCGGUGUGGAUUGUGUAGCAUAGGCGGGAGGCCGAGAGGCGCGGUCGCCAGAUCGCGCGGAGCCGUAAGGUGAAAUACCGCUCUGUUCGCAUUGGAUGUCUAACCUCGAACAGUCAUCCUGUUCAGGGACAGUGCCUGGCGGGUAGUUUAACUGGGGCGGUUGCCUCCCAAAGAGUAACGGAGGCGCCCAAAGGUCUCUUCAGCAUGGUCGGAAAUCAUGCAUUAGAGUGCAAAGGCAUAAAGAGGCUUGACUGCGAGAGAGACAUUUCGAGCAGGUACGAAAGUAGGGCUUAGUGAUCCGGCGGUAUGAGAGUGGAAUUGCCGUCGCUCAACG
rnacentral:rRNA from 1 species